GGGCGUCUGGCCCAUAGGAGCUAUCGCCGCCUGCGUCACUACGCCGCACCUGAGUCAACGCUGUCGCCCGCUGAGAGGCUACGAGCUCGCCCCGCUCUUCCGCUGGGCAACUGGUCCAGGAGGGCUGGCGGUCCUGAACCGGGGUGAUCGAGCGUUCGGGACCACCUGAGCUCCGCGAGGCGGUCCGACCCUGCUGUCCGACCCUGCUGUCCGACCCGGCUGUCCGACCCUGCUGUCCGACCCUGCUGUCCGACCCUGCUGUCCGACCCGGCUGCCCAACCCUGCUGUACGGCCCGGCUGUCGGACUCGGCUGUCCGACCCGGCCGUCCGACACGGCUGUCCCACCCCGCUGGCCGACAUUGCUGUCCGACCCCGCUGGCCGGCAUCGGUUCAACGAGGUCUCCGACACGGCAACACGCGCUUCCGCCUGAACUUUAUUCAAGUACCUGCCAUCGAGGGCACUUACCUGUCCAUGGAUAUAGCUACCAGUGUGUUGAUGGAGGCACUGACUGCUACGCCUUGAAGGUACGACACCGUCUUGCACAUGAACCAGCCAAGCAUCCAAGCUGCGCACAAAGAAAUUGAAAAAGAGCCAAGGUACUCACAUCGCUCUCGCCACUGAGAACCGAGUUUCCAGAAAAUACGGACCCGAUGUGCUGCAAGCAACCGAUAUGGAGG